rnacentral:tRNA from 1 species
GUACGUGUAGCUCAGCUGGAUAGAGCGUCUGACUACGGAUCAGAAGGCCGGGGGUUCGAAUCCUCUCACGUACA